rnacentral:rRNA from 1 species
GGAAUUGUUCGCAAUGGGCGCAAGCCUGACGACGCAACGCCGCGUGGAGGAUGAAGACUUUCGGGUCGUAAACUCCUUUCGACCAGGAUGAAUUCCUGCCGACCUAACACGUCGGCAGGGUAACAGUACUGGGAGACGAAGCCCCGGCUAACUCCGUGCCAGCAGCCGCGGUAAGACGGGGGGGGCAAGCGGUGAUCGGAAUUACUGGGCGUAAAGGGUUCGUAGGUGGCCCGCUAAGUCAGACGUGAAAUCCCUCAGCUCAACUGGGGAACUGCGUCUGAGACUGGAGGGCUUGAGUGCAGGAGAGGAACGCGGAAUUCCAGGUGUAGCGGUGAAAUGCGUAGAUAUCUGGAGGAACACCGGUGGCGAAGGCGGCGUUCUGGACUGCUACUGACACUGAGGAACGAAAGCCAGGGGAGCAA